rnacentral:rRNA from 1 species
UGGGGAAUAUUGGACAAUGGGGGCAACCCUGAUCCAGCGAUGCCGCGUGGGUGAAGAAGGCCUUCGGGUUGUAAAGCCCUUUAGGAUGGGAAGAAGUUUGCAUACAGAUAAUGUAUGUAAGUUGACGGUACCAUCAGAAUAAGCACCGGCAAACUCUGUGCCAGCAGCCGCGGUAAUACAGAGGGUGCAAGCGUUAAUCGGAGUUACUGGGCGUAAAGGGCGCGUAGGCGGUUAUACGUGUGUGAUGUGAAAGCCCCGGGCUUAACCUGGGAAGUGCAUCGCAAACUGUAUGACUAGAGUACAGGAGAGGGUGGCGGAAUUUCCGGUGUAGCGGUGAAAUGCGUAGAGAUCGGAAGGAACGUCGAUGGCGAAGGCAGCCACCUGGCCUGAUACUGACGCUGAGGCGCGAAAGCGUGGGGAGCGAACAGG